rnacentral:rRNA from 1 species
UGUAGGCGUAUACCAAAGUUGUUGCAGUUAAAACGCUCGUAGUCGAAUUUUGGUGUGAGUUAUGGAGACUCCUACUGGAUGUUGAAGUAACUUCGCCUUUGUGGAGGGGGGUGUGGUGGUACUUUAUUGUAUUGCUGCAUUUCCGCCACUGUUUACUGUGAAAAAAUUAGAGUGUUCAAAGCGAGCGUUUGCCAUGAAUACAUUAGCAUGGAAUAAUAGAAUAGGACCUGGUUCUGUUUUAUUGGUUUGUCUGUAUCAGGUAAUGAUUAACAGGGACGGUCGGGGGUAUUUGUAUUCCAGCGUUAGAGGUGAAAUUCUUGGAUCGCUGGAAGACAGACAGCUGCGAAAGCGUCUACCAAGGACGUUUUCAUUGA